GAGUUUGAUCGUGGCUCAGGACGAACGCUGGCGGCGUGCUUAACACAUGCAAGUCACGGGGGCCCGCAAGGGCAACCGGCGAACGGGUGCGUAACACGUGAGCAAGCUUCCGAUUUGUGGGGGAUAGCCGGCCUAACGGCCGGGUAAUACCGCAUACGUUCACUGGGCGGCAUCGUCUGGUGAGGAAACCUCCGGGGCAAAUCGAGGCGCUCGCGGCCUAUCAGCUAGUUGGCGGGGUAAUGGCCCACCAAGGCGACGACGGGUAGCUGGUCUGAGAGGAUGGCCAGCCACAUUGGGACUGCGACACGGCCCAGACUCCUACGGGAGGCAGCAGUGGGGAAUAUUGCGCAAUGGACGAAAGUCUGACGCAGCGACGCCGCGUGUGGGAUGAAGCUCUUCGGGGUGUAAACCACUGUUGCCCGGGACGAAAUGCCCUUUCGAGGGAAUUGACGGUACCGGGUGAGGAAGCACCGGCUAACUCUGUGCCAGCCGCCGCCGUAAC
rnacentral:rRNA from 1 species